rnacentral:rRNA from 1 species
AGAUUAAGUUAUUAAGGGCGCACGGUGGAUGCCUUGGCACUAGAAGCCGAUGAAGGACGUUACUAACGACGAUAUGCUUUGGGGAGCUGUAAGUAAGCUUUGAUCCAGAGAUUUCCGAAUGGGGAAACCCAGCACGAGUUAUGUCGUGUUAUCUGCAUGUGAAUACAUAGCAUGCAAGAAGGCAGACCCGGAGAACCGAAACAUCUUAGUACCCGGAGGAAGAGAAAGAAAAAUCGAUUCCCUGAGUAGCGGCGAGCGAAACGGGAAGAGCCCAAACCAAUAAGCUUGCUUAUUGGGGUUGUAGGACACUCUGUACGGAGUUACAAAAGAAUUUGUUAGACGAAUAACCUGGAAAGGUUAAUCAUAGAAGGUAAUAAUCCUGUAGUCGAAAACAAAUUCUCUCUUGAGUGGAUCCUGAGUACGACGGAGCACGUGAAAUUCCGUCGGAAUCUGGGAGGACCAUCUCCUAAGGCUAAAUACUCUCUAGUGACCGAUAGUGAACCAGUACCGUGAGGGAAAGGUGAAAAGUACCCCGGAAGGGGAGUGAAAGAGAACUUGAAACCGUGUGCUUACAAGUAGUCAGAGCCCGUUAAUGGGUGAUGGCGUGCCUUUUGUAGAAUGAACCGGCGAGUUACGAUCUGAUGCAAGGUUAAGCAGAAAAUGUGGAGCCGUAGCGAAAGCGAGUCUGAAUAGGGCGAAUGAGUAUUUGGUCGUAGACCCGAAACCAGGUGAUCUACCCUUGGUCAGGUUGAAGUUCAGGUAACACUGAAUGGAGGACCGAACCGACUUACGUUGAAAAGUGAGCGGAUGAACUGAGGGUAGCGGAGAAAUUCCAAUCGAACUUGGAGAUAGCUGGUUCUCUCCGAAAUAGCUUUAGGGCUAGCCUCAAGUGAUGAUUAUUGGAGGUAGAGCACUGUUUGGACGAGGGGCCCCUCUCGGGUUACCGAAUUCAGACAAACUCCGAAUGCCAAAUAAUUUAACUUGGGAGUCAGAAUGUGGGUGAUAAGGUCCAUAUUCGAAAGGGAAACAGCCCAGACCACCAGCUAAGGUCCCAAAAUAUAUGUUAAGUGGAAAAGGAUGUGGCGUUGCCCAGACAACUAGGAUGUUGGCUUAGAAGCAGCCAUCAUUUAAAGAGUGCGUAAUAGCUCACUAGUCGAGUGACACUGCGCCGAAAAUGUACCGGGGCUAAACAUAUUACCGAAGCUGUGGAUUGUCCUUUGGACAAUGGUAGGAGAGCGUUCUAAGGGCGUUGAAGCAUGAUCGCAAGGACAUGUGGAGCGCUUAGAAGUGAGAAUGCCGGUGUGAGUAGCGAAAGACGGGUGAGAAUCCCGUCCACCGAUUGACUAAGGUUUCCAGAGGAAGGCUCGUCCGCUCUGGGUUAGUCGGGUCCUAAGCUGAGGCCGACAGGCGUAGGCGAUGGAUAACAGGUUGAUAUUCCUGUACCACCAUUAUUCGUUUUAAGCGAUGGGGGGGACGCAGUAGGAUAGGCGAAGCGUGCUGUUGGAGUGCACGUCCAAGCAGUGAGAUUGAGUGUUAGGCAAAUCCGGCACUCUUAAGAUUGAGCUGUGAUGGGGAGAGGAACUUGUUCCUCGAGUCGUUGAUUUCACACUGCCGAGAAAAGCCUCUAGCUAGAAUAACGGUGCCCGUACCGCAAACCGACACAGGUAGUCAAGAUGAGAAUUCUAAGGUGAGCGAGCGAACUCUCGUUAAGGAACUCGGCAAAAUGACCCCGUAACUUCGGGAGAAGGGGUGCUCUUUGAGGUUCACGCUUCGAAGAGCCGCAGUGAAUAGGCCCAAGCGACUGUUUAUCAAAAACACAGGUCUCUGCUAAACCGUAAGGUGACGUAUAGGGGCUGACGCCUGCCCGGUGCUGGAAGGUUAAGAGGAGUGGUUAGCGCAAGCGAAGCUACGAAUCGAAGCCCCAGUAAACGGCGGCCGUAACUAUAACGGUCCUAAGGUAGCGAAAUUCCUUGUCGGGUAAGUUCCGACCCGCACGAAAGGCGUAACGAUUUGGGCACUGUCUCAACGAGAGACUCGGUGAAAUCAUAGUACCGGUGAAGAUGCCGGUUACCCGCGACAGGACGGAAAGACCCCGUGGAGCUUUACUGUAGCCUGAUAUUGAAAUUCGGUACAGUUUGUACAGGAUAGGUAGGAGCCUUAGAAGCGUGAGCGCUAGCUUACGUGGAGGCAUUGGUGGGAUACUACCCUAAUU